GACGAACGCUGGCGGCGUGCCUAAUACAUGCAAGUUGAGCGAUGAAGAUUGGUGCUUGCACCAAUUUGAAGAGCAGCGAACGGGUGAGUAACGCGUGGGGAAUCUGCCUUUGAGCGGGCGACAACAUUUGGAAACGAAUGCUAAUACCGCAUAAUAACUUUAAACAUAAGUUUUAAGUUUGAAAGAUGCAAUUGCAUCACUCAAAGAUGAUCCCGCGUUGUAUUAGCUAGUUGGUGAGGUAAAGGCUCACCAAGGCGAUGAUACAUAGCCGACCUGAGAGGGUGAUCGGCCACAUUGGGACUGAGACACGGCCCAAACUCCUACGGGAGGCAGCAGUAGGGAAUCUUCGGCAAUGGACGAAAGUCUGACCGAGCAACGCCGCGUGAGUGAAGAAGGUUUUCGGAUCGUAAAACUCUGUUGGUAGAGAAGAACGUUGGUGAGAGUGGAAAGCUCAUCAAGUGACGGUAACUACCCAGAAAGGGACGGCUAACUACGUG
rnacentral:rRNA from 1 species